UACGAGUGGUGCGAGCGUUAUUCGGAAUUAUUGGGCGUAAAGGGUGCGUAGGCGGUGCAUUAAGUCAACUGUUAAAUUCCUCGGCCUAACCGAGGGUCUGCAGUAGAUACUGAUGUGCUAGAGGGUGGAAGAGAGAAGUGGAAUUCUCGGAGUAGCGGUAAAAUGCGUAGAUCUCGAGAGGAACACCAAUGGCGAAGGCAGCUUCUUGGUCCAUUCCUGACGCUGAGGCACGAAAGCGUGGGGAGCAAACAGG
rnacentral:rRNA from 1 species